ACUUUUAUCAAUGCAUCAUGAAACAUUUCCAUGAAUAAUCUAAAUUAAACCAUACUUCAUGUAUAACAUUAGUCUUUUAAGACAUUGAAGCUAUACAGAAAUAUUUACUCAUUGUACUGAGUUUGUUUUGACAGGUCUCCCAGGAUGUGCUGUUUGACUAUGUAAAGCUAAAGAGGCUGAAGAAAUCAACGUUUUAACAGGUCUCCCAGGAUGUGCUGUUGAAGUAUGUAAAGCUAAAGAAAAGGAAGAAGUCACCAUUUUUGACAGGUCUCCCAGGAUGUGCUGUUUAACUAUGUAAAGCUAAAGAAGAGGAAGAAAUCACCAUUUUGACAGGUCUCCCAGGAUGUGCUGUUGAAGUAUAUAAAGCUAAAGAAGAGGAACAAAUUACCAUUUUGACAGGUUUAACUAAUGCCUAAAUUUAGUUUUUUAGCUCACCUGAACCGAAGGCUCAAGUGAGCUUUUCUGAUCACAUUUUGUCCGGCGUCGGUCUGUCUGUUAACUUUUCACAUUUUUGACUUCUUCUGAAGAACCACUGGGCCAAUUUCAACCAAACUUGCUACAAAGCAUCCUUGGAUGAAGGGGAUUCAAAUUUGUUCAAAUGAAAGGCCAAGCCCUCUUCCAAGGGGAGAUAAUUAUGAAUAAGCGAAAAAUUAAUUGCAUCUUUUAAAAAUCUUUUUCGCCAAAACCCUUGGGCCAGGAAAGAUGAAACUCAUGUUGAAGCAUCCUCAUGUAGAGUAGAUUCAAGUUUGUU